CUGAAUAGCUUAUUUUUCCUCCAGUGAAUGGUGAUUGAGUUUCGCCCCAAUUAAUAGCAGCAAAGAAGAGCCAUAUCUGCGAUCUGAAAGCAUUUUCUGAUUGAAAAUCCAUUAGGUUUCAGUAAGUUCUCUUUUCACACUAGCUCUAAAAUUGCUUUAACAUCAUCUGCAUCGCCACAAAAUUUUGUUUGUAAGCGUAGAACUGUGAAGAAUAUUGAUGAAGCUGUUGCUUUAUUCCGUCGAAUGAUAGUUUACCGUCCUCCGCCAUUGGUUAAGGCGUUCACUGAAUUGUUGAAGGUAGUUACGAAAAUUAAAAAAAAUAAAAAAUUCUGUUGUUAUUCAUCUCUUUAAAGAAAUUACUACUUUGGGAAUUGCGAACCAAACAUUGCAGCUUAUAACACCUUAAUUGACAGCUUAUGCAAAGAUCGAAUGGUAGAUGAUGCCCACAAGCUGUUCACUAGAAUGACUGAGAAAGGGAUUUAUCCUGAUAUUAUUACAUAUAGUUCAAUUAUUCAAUGUUUUUGUAAUUUUGGCCAAUGGGAAGAAGUUAAGAAAGCUACUGAAUCAGAUGAUCCAUCAUGGUGUGUAUCUGAAUGUCUAAACCUAUAAUAUAUUAGUUGAUGCGUUUUGCAAGGAAGGUAGGGCGGAAGACGCCAAAGCUAUCAUUGAAUGUAUGAUACAAAAGGGCGUUGAUCCUGAUGUAGUCACAUACAACACAUUGAUAGAUGGUUACUAUUGGCAGGGUCGGUUACAUGAAGCAAAACAAGUGUUUGAUUCGAUGGUGCAGAGGGGUGUUCAACCUAACACUAAUCAAUGGUUAUUGCAAAAGAAUGGAAAUAGACAAAGCCAUAGAUCUUGUGAGAGAAAUGUCUCUAAAACAAUUAAAACCUGGAAUUGUAACAUACACCAGUACUGUUUUGCAGGGAUUAUUUCGAGUAGGGAGAUUCUCCCAUGCACAAAAGAUGUAUGAUGAGAUGCGUGUUUUAGGAUUCAAACCCGAUACUCAGAGUCACACUUAUUGUAUCAUGCUAGAUGGUUUGUGCAAGAAUGGACAUGUUGAAGAAGCUCUGGUGUUUCUUCAAGAACUGGAAAGAAAGAAUGUUGACCUCAGCUGUUCUAUGUAUGAGGUUGUUAUUGCUGGAUUGUGCAAAAAAGGCAAGCUCAAUAUUGCUCAAGAUAUAUUCAAUAAUUGUGUGUUCUGAUGGUUUACAUGUCAACGUGAGGUCGUACAAUGCAAUGAUAAAUGGCCUAUGCCGGGAGGGUUUGCUAGACGAAGCAGAAGACUUGAUGAGGAAGAUGGAACAAAAUGGGCUUUCACCCGAAGAUUUUGCUUGUGAUUUUAUUUUGCAAGGAUUUCUUAAAAGGGAUAAGUUACAUGAGGUAUUUCCACUUCUGCAAGAAAUGGUUGAUAAGGGUCUCUCCUAAUGCACAUACAUUUCAGCUGCUGAUAAAUCUAGCUUCAGCUGAAUGUACUCUACUCGACAUGAUCCAGAGAUUAAGACCCAAAGAUUGUAAGUGAUUGUGUUCUAAUUUUGGUAAAGGAACAGGAUGCAGCAGCCACCUGGUCGCUGGUUAGAGUUAUGCAGGUAGUAAUGUAGGGAUUCGUUAUUCAUGUAUUAGUUAUUCUAUUUUUACUACCCUGCAUUAUAUAAUAAAUAAAUUGACUCAUAAAUUAUACUUGUGGGAUUGUAAAAAUAAUAACCAAACACCGUACCUGGUGUGCUGAAUUCUAUACAAAACAACUAAAAUCUACCAAACAUGGUAUUGACUAUGCUAGCUUCAAUAUAUGAAUAAUUCCCUUUGUAACCAACAACCAAACGACCCCCACUUUAACUGGAUGAUUUUUUCGUUGUUGCAAUUUACUUCUUCUUUUCUUACAUAGCUCCUGUGUCAUUGUCAAUUAUAUGCUUGCUCUAAACUUCUAAGAUAAAGGACUUGAUAUUACAGAGGAACGUAACUACAAAUCAUGCUGCAUUUAUUAAAAACAUCUUCCCUUUUGUAAUUUCUAUGUUCAAGGAGGUUGGCACUUUUAUGUAUCGAAAAUUGACACCCCUCUUAGAUCGUUGGAUGGAGAAAACUACAUUUCCCUUCUUUUUACUUGAACAAUUGAAACAUCAAUUAAUGAUAGCUUGUACUGUUUUAUGAUUACAUUACAGAGUAUUGAACAUUUUCCUUUCUGAAUGUUUACACUGGUUUCACAUGUUGAGAAACUAACUGAAGUAUUCUUUCACUAUUGACUAUGAGUAGAUUAGGAUGUGGUUGAGAUUGUCUGAAGAUAAGCAUCAGCCAUCAUGUGUCCUAGGAAGACUUGGGAAGAAGCAGUAAGGUGUAAAUUGUCUUUAUGCAACUCCAAACCCCUGGCAUCAACAGUUACUACAUUUGCAAGGUCAGGAUUUAACUGUGCUUCUCUUACUAUAUCUGUGUAAUUUGUUCCUGAAGCUAGAGCCACCUACAUAAGUUUGAACAAAAGAAGUGUAAACAAGUAAGGAUAACUAAUAACCAACUUUGCAAGGGAUGCUUGACUGACCUCAGAUUGUGACGGAGAAUUUAUUGUAUUAUUGAAGCUAAGAUUUCAAAAUCUAAUAUUUGUUGAAAUUUUAGUGGAAUUUCACACACACACACACACACAUAUACGCUCCGUGUUGAAAAUAUACUGCAUUUGGAUGAACCUGCAGCUUAAGAACCGGUUCCUGCAGUAAGAGUUACUCCCUUUGUUUCAAUUUGUUUGACUGCGUACCUUCCUUUUUAGUCUGUUUCAGAAAGAAUAUCUCUUUCCUUUAUAAGAACUCUUUAAUUUCCAAAUGACAUGUUUAAAACCACAAGAUUAAAAGACAUUUUGGUACAUUCCACAUAUCUUUAGUUUAAGAUCGCAACACUCAAAAGUUUUCUUUAUUUUCUUAAACUCCCCGUCAAAAUUGGAACGGGGGAGUACCAAAUUUAAGGUUACCUGGAUAAUCAAAAGAUCUGGUAUCCCAACAUCACUUCUCAAGUCUGUGAAAAAUUGUUGCAUUUUUCCUUUAUAAGCAUUUGCAUUACUCAGUAACGUUGUGUCACUCUCCCCUUGAUACCAAAGCAUAGCUCUAGUUACCCCACAUUCUUGCACUGCAGCAGCUUUGGCUCUCAUCACCAGCUGAUUGUAAAGGAAAGUUCCCUUUUGCCAUUGACUUAUUCUGUUCCCCGCCAUUGCGCAUGGUACCAACCCUACUUCCCCAAGAAACGAAGUUUUAUUCAACAAAGAAUUUGCGAAGGGCAUACCUGCACACACGAAUCUAGAAUUUAUAGUUAGCAUGUCCAGAGCGAGUCUAAUCUAUUGAAAUCCGCCUCUACAUACCUGGACCAAUCCCACAAGUAACAUUUGUGUCGAUAUCUGCAUGUAAAGGUUCAGUUGCCUCCACCCAUUGAAGUUUGGCAUCAAGUUUGAGGAUGGCCGGAUUCGGGCUACACUCCAAUGGAACAAUACCAUCCCAUGUGUUGUUCACGACACCUCCUAGGCCCGACAUGUUGCUUUGUCCAGCUAGUAAGAAGAUGUUCUUCACCUGUGAAUUUGCUAUAGCUGUAAAAUAGGAUAAAGCCAUAAUCAUAAGCAAUGCCAUGGACUUUGCCAUUUGUUAUAUACACAAUGUUUUUCCACUAUGAAUUUCAUUCAACUUUUACAGAUAUAUAUAUAUAUAUAUANNNNNNNNNNNNNNNNNNNNNNNNNNNNNNNNNNNNNNNNNNNNNNNNNNNNNNNNNNNNNNNNNNNNNNNNNNNNNNNNNNNNNNNNNNNNNNNNNNNNNNNNNNNNNNNNNNNNNNNNNNNNNNNNNNNNNNNNNNNNNNNNNNNNNNNNNNNNNNNNNNNNNNNNNNNNNNNNNNNNNNNNNNNNNNNNNNNNNNNNNNNNNNNNNNNNNNNNNNNNNNNNNNNNNNNNNNNNNNNNNNNNNNNNNNNNNNNNNNNNNNNNNNNNNNNNNNNNNNNNNNNNNNNUAUAUAAGAUAAAUUGGUUUGCAUUUGCAUGUUUCAUAGCUAGCUGGACCCCUUUUUAUUUAUUAGGUAGUAGUUUUUUUCCAUGUGAUUCGUGAUAGAUAAAUUGUUAUUGAAGAAGCAUCAUGUUCGCUCGAAUCUUCCAGGGCACUUAUUUGAAUAUCGAUGGAACUUAUUUGAAAUUUAUUAGCUUUGAAGCUUUAGGCUAUACUAUAGUAGUAUGUUAAUUAAACAGAGUCUGGAAACAAAAAAAAGUGAAUACUUUAUAUGGUCUUGAACUCUUGGUCUCUCAACUCUGUAAAAAACAGUCUUGUGCAUAAUGUUAAUCCUGUGAUAAUUUGGUUAAUAACUAGUGGAGUAAUAAGUUGAGCAAUUAUUUAGGUGGAUAUACUAUUUUAAGGCAUGUUGCAUUAAAUACUGCAAUUGUCUUUAAUUAACUUAACGAAAAGCCAGCUUUCGUAAGGCUUUUUUUUUUAAUCAUUUGAUGUCCACUACCCGCAAUAACACACAAUUUUUUGACGAUUGAAUGAAGACAUGGAUAUUUUCUCAAUCGAGUUUGCAUUGAUUUAAGUUUUUUGGUUUGCUUCCGUUUCAUUUAAAGGUAUUUUUGGCCCAUUUCACUAACUAUAAGGAUAUAAAUGUAUCGAAGUAUAACCAAAGGACAUUUUUUAUUAUUUCACAUAAUACAAGGGCAUUUUUGACCCUUUUGUCAAAUUUUAAUUGUAGUCUUUGUUUAAAGUUUGGGUCAAUCUUACCCACGUGAUUGACAGACUGACAAGUCUUUGUCCUUAUUCCAACUAAGCUACCAGUUUAUUAUUUUAUUUUUAAAAAAUAAAUAAAAAUGAUUGUCUACCAUUUAAAAAAUUCAGAAAUCCCAUAUCGGAUACAUUCAUAUCCCUUUCGGAUAUAUUUCUCCCCUCUUGGAUACAUCUCUCUUCUAUGUAUCCGGAUUCUAUCCCCUAUCUGAAACAUUCCUCCCCUCUCAGUUACAUCUCUCCCCUAUAUGUAUUCGGAUGUAAAGUCCCCUCUCGGAUAUGUAUCUGGAAAUCCAGUUAUGUUAUUUCAUGUAUUCAGAUUAACAAAUCAGAAGCACAAUCCUUCACUUCCUAUUCACAGCUUUAAGAAACUUUUGUAAACAAAACCCAACAAAUGAUAUGAGACUUUUGUAAACAAAACCCAACAAGUGAUGUAUCUGGAAGUCCAGUGAUGUAUUCAAAAUUAAUAAAUUUUAAAGGACUUUUGUAAUUUGAAAAAGAGUAGGAAAAUAAUAUAACUAGCUCUUAACACUAUGAAAUUUAUGUAAAUUACACAUAAAAUAAAUAUGAUAACAUAUAUAUAAUAUCACCCAAGUCACGGCAAAUGGAGGGAUUGAAUCGGAUUUGUGCAGAUUGAAAAUGGAUUAAUGAAUUGCAAUGCACCAUAUGAAUAUUGGCAAAUUGUGAAUUGGGUAAAUCGUUCUAAUCCACAUUAAUCGACCUAGGACCUGACUUCAAUCCCAACCUCGACCUCAACUUGGGACCCUACCUCAGCAUGGGAUUUAACCUCGAUUCCGACCUUGAUCUCAACUCGAGACCCUACCUCAGUAUGAAAUCUAAUCUUGAUCCCGAUCCUAACCUACUUUUGACUCGAGAUCCGACUCCAACUCAAGAUAGGAUUCCCAUGGAACCCUAACCACGACCAUGAUCUCAACUCGAGCUCCAAUUCUAAUUCCUGAUUCAACCUUAAUUUAAGACUCGAUCCUGACUCCAACCCCGACUCAGGAAUAGACCAUGAGUUAAGGGGGUAGGUGGAGAUAGGCAGGUAGGGGAGGGUUAAUAGUGCCAGGGUUGGGUUGGGCAUUUGUGUGUUUUUAUUGAUCUUGUAAAUGUUCUCUCAAAUUUUAAGGAAAGGAUAUUGGGGUCUCCUAUUUACAAAAGUGAGUUUGUAUAUGAAUACUCACAUGUUAUCCAUAUUUUUAUGGGAUAAAAUAGAUUGAAACUCAUAUUUAUCUAAUUGAAAUAUAAGUGAUCUAACUCAUUAAAAUAUGAAUUAAAUGAAUUAAUUUAAUAACCAUGAACUGAAAUUCCAACUCUAAAUAUCAUAGACAACAAAAAAAAUCUUUAGAAAAAACACCAAAAUUUUAAAAGAACAAGAAAUAAUACAACCCUCAAAAUCUCACUCUCUUUUAGCAUAAGCAUAAAAAAUAGUCAAAAUAUUUUCAAAUUAGCAAUUUCUUCUGACCUGAAAAAAAAACAUGACAAACCAAAACCAACAAGAAAAUGCUAAAUUCUAGAAAAAGAAAAAGAAAAAGAAAAUUGAGAACCCUUAAAAUCUAACAGAUAAUUUUCUAACAAUUACCCUAAAAUCACUCUAGCCAUAAAUAUUCAAAUGUGGUUCAAAUUAUACCUAGACACUAUAUAUAACCCUCUUCUCAACCACAUUUAAUUCACCAAAGCAAAAAAAAAAAAAAAUAGAAAAAAAUCAAACACAAAUUUCAAAAAUAUAAUUAUUAUUUACUUAUUUAUUUUUAAAAAAUAUGGAGAUGAAGAAGAUUGCUUGUGUCACCCUCAUUGUUGCUGCCUCAAUUAGUUCAGUCAUGGCUCAAAUAUUGCCCCCAACCUCUGCCCCAAUCUCUUCUCCGAUCUCUGCCCCAGCCUCUGCCCCAUCUAGUGAUGCCGCCGUGUCAUUGCCCAACGUGGCAACUUUGGCUGGGGCUACUUUAUUAUCCUUCUUCGCUUAUUUCAUGCACUAAAUUAUAUCGUCAAAUUUCUCUAAAACAAUCAUCUCUACAUUAAUAACCAUAAAAAAAAUUGAAAUAGAUUUUUUUUAUAUUAUGUUAUAUUAUAUAUUUUCUAUAACAUUAUUUUGUUAUAGAGACUAAAAGAUGAUUUAAAUGAUAUCGUUAUAAUGAGAUUUAAUUGUAAUUAGAAAGGGGGAAAAAGGAAGAGAAUGAAGAAUUGAAGGAGAUUACAGGUCUUGGUAGGGAGAAGGAAAGAUUUUUUAGAUACAUCUUUGUGUACUAUAUAUAUCAUCACCAACAAAAUAAAAUCAUUAUUUUGUGGUUUAUUAUUGUUGUUUCUUAUGUAACAUACGGUUAAUUGUAUUUCAUCAUUUUUGCAUUUAUUUAUUUGAGAUCGAUCAAUCUCAAAAUUAUCAAUGAGAUCAAGGUGAAUUGUCGCGUUCAAAUCCAAAAAACAAAAAAAAAGCACAAUCUUUUCUCAGAAAAAAAAAUCUUUUUUUAUACUCUAUGCUUAAUCGAAUAUAAUGGUAAUAGAAAUAAAUUUUAUAAUAUAUAUCAUAUUAAAAAAAUAUAUAUAUUAAACCUGAUUCAGUCUCGAAAAAGAACAACGAAAAGCCAAAAAAAAGGAGCAUAAAUUCAAUUUGAUGAUUGAAUAAAACGUGACAAUCUUUAUCCAAUAGUAAAAUGACACCGUUUCUCCCAACAAAAAUUCCCCUAGCCAAAUGGCAUACAUGCAAUAAACAAUAUCUGUACCUCUUUUCCUUCACUAUAAGUAUUAUGCUUUUCUCCUAUCUUUCUACUGAAAAAAAAUUGAAGUCUCUCUCAGAAAUAAUUAAUCAUUAAAAAAUAAAUAUUUUGUUAUAUAUCAAUGGCUUGCCUUAGGUUUUUCUAUAUUUAUGUUGUACUGCUAGUUUUGAAGAUGUCUGAGGCUCAAGACUUGGCAUCGGAGAAUAUUGCACCUUCACCGGCGAUGGUUUUGUUCCGGCGACCUCUGUCGGAGUGUUCUUUACUUUUUGUGUAAUCAAUCUCUUUAUUAAUAUGCAUUGAGGUUUUGGUGAUGGUGCUUCUACAUUAGUACCAAAUAUGAUUUUGCUCUACCGCCCUUCAUUUUUAUGCUACCACUUGUUACUUAUGCAUUUGUCUUCUUAUUUUUCCUUGUUAUAUAGAUUGAUAGAUACCUGGCCUGUAGUAUUAUGCGUGUAGUUUUUUAAUAUUUGAAUUUUAAUAUAUAAUUGAAUUUAUCUUAA
rnacentral:lncRNA from 1 species